GAUGAACGCUAGCGACAGGCCUAACACAUGCAAGUCGAGGGGCAGCAUGAAAGUAGCUUGCUACUUUUGAUGGCGACCGGCGCACGGGUGCGUAACAGGUGUGCAAUCUGUCCAUAAUCGGGGAAUAGCCCAGCGAAAGUUGGAUUAAUGCUCCAUGUGAGCCGAGGAGGCAUCUCUUUGGUUUGAAACGUAAGGAUUAUGGGUGAGCACGCUUCUGAUUAGGUAGUUGGUGAGGUAACGGCUCACCAAGCCGACGAUUAGUAGGGGUUCUGAGAGGAAGGUCCCCCACAUUGGAACUGAGACACGGUCCAAACUCCUACGGGAGGCAGCAGAGAGGAAUAUUGGUCAAUGGACGGAAGUCUGAACCAGCCAAGUCGCGUGAAGGAUGAAGGUUCUAUGGAUUGUAAACUUCUUUUGUCUGAGGGUAAAAAAGCGGACGUGUCCGUUCUUGCAAGUAUCAGACGAAUAAGCAUCGGCUAACUCCGUGCCAGCAGCCGCGGUAAGAC
rnacentral:rRNA from 1 species